CCUUGACCUCGCCUACGGCCUGGGUGGACCAGGAGGGAGAAACAAACACACAGAGUUCCCACCAUAAAUCCAGAGAACGCCAGACUUUGAUGACAAAGUUUGAUGACACCUUCAUGUUUAAGUGAGCACAUCACAAGCCACGAAAAAGUGCACAGUUGGGUGCCAAACGGAUCCCCUGGUCGUUAAUGGAUGGUGGGACCUACCAGAAGGAGCCAAUUCUCUCUCAACUCAUACGAAAAGGACAUGCCAUAAUGAGGCCUCUGAUAGUGACCCGAGUUACUGAUACAUCAACAAUGACAGGCCCUCCCAGUCUACACCACCUCAUAAGAUUGCCUGCUGCAGUUGUUCGAGAGACGGCCAGUUUACAGCCGAACACGCAGCAUAGAGAAGACCAGCAAAGGGGCCCUCAUCAGCAUCAUGCAGACAUGCCCUUGCUGUGAGCAUUCAUAUGAAUAGAACAGUGAGCCACAUGUUGGCAAGUAUCCGGCCAGCAACCGUCACCUGUCAAUGGCCACAGCUUUCACAGGCUCCUCAUUUGUACAAAUACAGAAGGUAACCCACUUCAUUACUUCGAUACAUUUGUUAACCCAAUUGUAAAACAUCACUUCUGUAAACUGACUUUAUUUGUUGCUUGUUUUGUACUUCUUAGAUGCAUAUAAUGUCCAGGGCAUAUACUGCCAGUAUAAUAAGCCCGUUAGAGCUGGCCUGAAUGCUGUGUUCAGCGUUCCAUUUAACUUCACAUUGUAUGAUAUCUGAAGUGAAAUAGAGAGGUGAAUGCAGUGAUCAGGUUGGUUUCACCAGGCUACUCAUACCCAUUAUUAAUAAUGGAAUCAGUGCUCUGUGUGGGUGCGUGUGGGUGCGUGUGCCUGUGUGUGUUUGUGUGUGUGAAUCUGCGCUGCUAUGCCCAUCACUGAGGCUCUGGCAAAGACCUCACCCCCAACCUCACAUCUUGCCUGUUCACCAACAGUCGUCGAUGCGGAGAACAAAAAUUAGGUAGGUUUAGUUUGACUUGUGUCAGAUAUUAUCUAUCCUGAAUGCCAUUGUUAAUAGAACAGUGACUAUGUAUGUCAUGUAUGUGCUCAUAGAAACAUGUGGAGUCAACACAUGGAGACUUGCAAGAUAAUGUGAUGAAGUCCAGACUGACAGAUGGGCUUGAUACUCAUGCCUCUGAAUGGAGAGAGACCUGGCACUCGGCAUAAA